AACGAACGCUGGCGGCAGGCCUAACACAUGCAAGUCGAGCGGACCUUUCGGGGUCAGCGGCGGACGGGUGAGUAACGCGUGGGAAUAUGCCCUUCUCUACGGAAUAGUCCUGGGAAACUUGGGGUCAUACCGCAUACGCUCUUUGGGGGAAAGAUCUCUCGGGGCAGGAUUAGCCCGCGUUGGAUUAGGUAGUUGGUGGGGUAAUGGCCUACCAAGCGGACGAUCCAUAGCUGGUUGGGGAGGAUGCUCAGCCACACUGGGCCUGAGACACGGACCAGACUCCGACGGAAGGCAGCAGUGUGGAAUAUUAGGCAAGGGGGGCAACUCUGAUCUAGCCAUGCCGGGUGAGUGAGGAAGGGCGUAGGGUUGUAAAGCUCUUUCAGCUGGGAAGAGAAUGACGGUACCAGCAGAAGAAGCCCCGGCUAACUCCGUG
rnacentral:rRNA from 1 species